rnacentral:lncRNA from 1 species
GAGGCCUGCUGCCCUCCUCUCUGGCGUCUGUAAGUAGUAAACAUGUCUUCUGUUAGAGCAUAUGUUGUGCUGUGCUGCCCUGUGUCUCACAGGACUGGCACACCCAAACAGAAUUCUCCUCCCAGCUAGAGCUCUCCUAGAGUGCGGCGUCUUGGUGGAAAUAAACUGGACACAGGUCAGACAACAGCCACAAGAUACCGCCAGGAUAAGCAAGGUGGAGGAAACCGGAAGCCAUGUUGUGAGGACACUCAAGCCACCCUGAGAAGAGGCCCGUGUAAUGAGGAAAUAAGGCCUCCUGCCAAACACCAAUAUGGACGAGAAGCCUCCUGCCCAUAGCCAUGUGAGUGUGCCAACUUGGAAGUAGAUUCUUCAGCCCUGGUCCAGCCUUCCAACAAUGGCAGCCCCAGCUGACAAUGUGACUAUAACAUCAUGAGACACCCAGAACCACAGCCAGCCAGCAAAGCCAGUCCAAAAUUCCUGACCCACAGAAACUAUAAGAUAAUAAAUGUUUACUGAGCUGCUAUGUUGGAGGAGUUUGUCAUGCAGCAAUAGGCAAAUCCUUAAUUCACCGCCUCCCCUACCUCCACCACACAUGGAACUAUUCUUCUCUGAUCUUUAGGCUCAACACAGGGGGUUUCUAACUGUUUUGUGCCACUGACUUCUUUGUUGAUGCAUGGGUUUCCUAUGGCUGCUAUAACAAAUGAUCACAAAUUCAAUGGCUUAGAACAACACAGAUUUACUAUCUUGCAGUUCUGGAGGCUAGAAGUCCAAACAAGUCUUGUGGGGCCAAAAUCAAGGCAUCAGCAGGUGUUUCCUUGCCUUUUCCAGCUUCCAGAGGCUGCCACACUCCCUGGCUUAUGGCCGCCUUCUGUCUUCAAAGCCAGCAAUCACUUUAUUCCCAUCUCUGUUUCCAUCACCACAUCAUCUUCUCUGACUCUGACCCCAACUCUCUUGCCUCCCUCUUUCACUUAUAAAGACCCUUGUGGUGACACUGGUCACACUUUGAUGCUCCAGGAUUAAUCUCUCCAUCUUAAGGUCAGCUAAUUAGCCACCUUAGUUCUAUCUGCAACCCUAAUUCCUCCUUGCGACAUAACAUUAACAUUUCACGGUUUCUUGGGAUUAGGACAGGGACAUCUUUGGGUAGCCAUUAUUCUGCCUGCAGUCAGUUUGGUGAAGCCUGUGGACCCUUUUUCAGGAUAACACUUUCAAGUGCAUAAAAUCACAGACAUAUGACUCCAAAUGAAACUAAUUCCACUGAAUACAGUUACUAAAAUACUUUAAUGCAGUUAUUAAAAUACUUUAAAAACAAAUGUGUGAUGUAGUAAUACAUGUGCAUCUUUUUUAACAUACUAGAAGAUCUAUAAUUGAACUGGUAACUACCUUAAUUUCAAAGUGGAGAUGAAUGUACAGAUUCAAGAUUGUCUGCAAUAAAAUGUUCAAGAUUGUCUGCAAUAAAAAGAACUAAGCUGGAGGCAUCACGU